AUAUCAAUAAGCGGAGGAAAAGAAACUAACAAGGAUUCCCUUAGUAGCGGCGAGCGAAGCGGGAAGAGCUCAAAUUUGAAAGCUGGCGUCCUACGGGCGUCCGCAUUGUAAUCUAUAGAGGCGUUUUCUGUGCUGGACCGUGUCCAAGUCCCUUGGAACAGGGUAUCAAAGAGGGUGACAAUCCCGUACUUGACACGACAACCAGUGCUCUGUGAUACGUCUUCUACGAGUCGAGUUGUUUGGGAAUGCAGCUCAAAAUGGGUGGUGAAUUCCAUCUAAAGCUAAAUAUUGGCGAGAGACCGAUAGCGCACAAGUA
rnacentral:rRNA from 1 species